rnacentral:rRNA from 1 species
CAGGACGAACGCUGGCGGCGUGCCUAACACAUGCAAGUCGAACGGGGAUUUGUUUCGGCAGAAUCCUAGUGGCGAACGGGUGAGUAACGCGUAGGCAACCCUGCCCUCCGCCGGGGGACAACACUCCGAAAGGGGUGCUAAUACCGGAUACGAAGUCUGUGCCGCAUGGUACGGAUUUGAAAGAUGGCCUCUAUUUAUAAGCUAUCGCCGGGGGAUGGGCCUGCGUCCGAUUAGCUGGUUGGUGGGGUAACGGCCUACCAAGGCGACGAUCGGUAGCCGGUCUGAGAGGAUGAACGGCCACAUUGGGACUGAGACACGGCCCAGACUCCUACGGGAGGCAGCAGUGGGGAAUCUUCCGCAAUGGGCGCAAGCCCUGACGGAGCGAUGCCGCGUGAGGGACGAAGGCCCUAGGGUUGCAAACCUCUGUCGUCCGGGACGAAACCAAUGACGGUACCGGGCAAGAAAGCCACGGCUAACUACGUGCCAGCAGCCGC